AUUGAACGCUGGCGGCAGGCCUAACACAUGCAAGUCGAGCGAGCGGCGGACGGGUGAGUAAUGUCUGGGAAACUGCCUGAUGGAGGGGGAUAACUACUGGAAACGGUAGCUAAUACCGCAUACCAUCAGAUGUGCCCAGAUGGGUUUGGCUUGUAGGUGGGGUAACGGCCCACCUAGGCGACGAUCCCUAGCUGGUCUGAGAGGAUGACCAGCCACACUGGAACUGAGACGCGGUCCAGACUCCUACGGGAGGCAGCAGUGGGGAAUAUUGCACAAUGGGCGCAAGCCUGAUGCAGCCAUGCCGCGUGUGUGAAGAAGGCCUUCGGGUUGUAAAGCACUUUCAGCGGGGAGGGGGGACGCGAAGAAGAAGCACCGGCUAACUCCGUGCCAGCAGCCGCGGUAAUAG
rnacentral:rRNA from 1 species